rnacentral:rRNA from 1 species
UACGUAGGGGGCAAGCGUUAUCCGGAUUUACUGGGUGUAAAGGGAGCGUAGACGGAUGGACAAGUCUGAUGUGAAAUGCUGGGGCUCAACCCCGGGACUGCAUUGGAAACUGCCCGUCUUGAGUGCCGGAGAGGUAAGCGGAAUUCCUAGUGUAGCGGUGAAAUGCGUAGAUAUUAGGAGGAACACCAGUGGCGAAGGCGGCUUACUGGACGGUAACUGACGUUGAGGCUCGAAAGCGUGGGGAGCAAACAGG